rnacentral:rRNA from 1 species
AGUGAACGCUGGCGGCGUGCCUAAUACAUGCAAGUCGAACGAAGUGGCGCACGGGUGAGUAAUAUAUAGUUAAUCUGCCCUACACAGAGGAACAACAGUUGGAAACGGCUGCUAAUACCUCAUAGUGUAGGAUGAGACUAUAUCGUAUCAGCAAGUUGGGAAGGUAAUGGCUUACCAAGGCUAUGACGCGUAACUGGUCUAAGAGGAUGAUCAGUAAAAUUGGAACUGAGACACGGGCCGAAAUCCUACGGGAGUGGGCAGUAAGGAAUAGUGCGCAAUGGGGGAAACCCUGACGGAGCUACGCCGCGUGGAGGAUGACAAUUUGCGGAGCGUAAACUCCUUUUAUCAGGAAAGCGGUACCUGAUGAAUAAGCACCGGCUAACUCCGUGCCAGCAGCCGCGGUAAUAC